UACGGAGGGUGCAAGCGUUAUCCGGAUUCACUGGGUUUAAAGGGUGCGUAGGCGGGCAGGUAAGUCAGUGGUGAAAUCUCCGAGAUUAACUCGGAAACUGCCAUUGAUACUAUUUGUCUUGAAUAUUGUGGAGGUAAGCGGAAUAUGUCAUGUAGCGGUGAAAUGCUUAGAUAUGACAUAGAACACCAAUUGCGAAGGCAGCUUACUACACAAUGAUUGACGCUGAGGCACGAAAGCGUGGGGAUCAAACAGG
rnacentral:rRNA from 1 species